CAGAUAUCGAAGACCAAACGACUGAGAUGGUGGGUUGACCGAAACUUUGAGCAAUGGACGCAGGCAGGCCUAGCCUUGUUGAGACUAAAUGGGAUUUGUGUUGAGGAGCCGAGGCAUAUGUCGCAACGAAGGGACAUCGAGAAUGACACAGUUAGUUGAAAGACGAAGGUUAGUUGGAAGAUUACGAAGAUUAGUUGAAUGAUCAUGACAUUUGGGAAGUUGUGAGGAUUUGUGUAAGCAUUUUAGGGAACUGGCGUGACGUUGGACGGAAGUUAAGAACACAUAGAGAUAGAAGAUGGGAACGAACACAGUGUUACCUCAUACUCAGUAAGUAUAAACGGUUGCGAGUGAGGAAACGAAGAAGGAAACCCAAGAGCAACGAGCAAUACGCAUGAGCGACAACGAGCAGCAGGUGCAUGGGUCGGUAUUAUAGCAGCAUCAUCAUGAACGGACAUGUCGGCGACGCUUUUAUUAGCAGGAAAGACGGAAGUGCCUAAUGACCGGCGUUCAGAAAUCUGGCGUGC
rnacentral:sRNA from 1 species